GUCCACAGAGAACGGGAGAAUUGAUUGGUGUGGAAAGCCCACACGUUUGGUGUUAGAAGUUUUGUAAGUAGGGAAACAGAUCCUAGGGCGAGCGGGGUUUUAGGAGUGUGUGUGUGGGGCUUGUGGGAGUGUGUGUGUGUACAUGUGUGGGGGUUGUAGGAGUGUAUGUUUGUGUGUGGCUGGGUUAUGCUGCAUCAACAAACGACCUCGCAUCUCUCAGCGGCUUUACUUACACAAGAAUGUAGUGUUCCUCACAAUGAAGGUUGGCAGCGGUCUCCACUCUGCAUAGUCACUCAGGCAUCCGGGCUAACAGAGGCCCCAUUUCAGCAUGGGUUCCUUCAUCACUGGGACGUGGAAAGAAAUGGUAAGUCAUCUAAUUAAAGGGGACAGGGAGCACUGUCCUUCCAGAAGGCCUGGGGAGCAGAACACAGUGAAUAGCCCGAUGGACGACCGCUGGGGACACGAGUCUCGGGGACCAGUUAGAAGGACUUUCUUUCCUCUCUCAGUGUCUGGGAACAGGGCAGGAUCCAAGACCAGAGCUUAGGCUGGGAAGCAGGACUGGAAAGGCUGAAUGUGCCCCCGGUCUCGGACGUGCUGUCAGUCUCUCUUCCUGGGGAGAAGUCUGGGUAUGCUCCGAGGCACCUGGAUUAAAUAAAAUGUCAACUUGAGAAGUACCAAUCUUUCUUGUAUGUUCUAAGAGAAGGGAGUCCAUUCUUCAUGUUAGUCUUGGGGGCGUCUCCAGGGGCAGGUGUGGGGGUGGUAAUGGGAGGCUGUAUGGGCUACCGAGCGGGGACCCCACUGUCCCCGGGUCAGACGGGUCAGCCACCGUCUAGCCCUGUGGCCUCGGGGAGGCAGUGCGUCUCUCCUUAUUUGCCCAUCUGUAAAGUGGGCUGAUAACCAUCCCCACCACUGGAGCAGCUGGGAAGACUGACUGAGAUUGUGCCUGGAGCACCUGGUGCCAGGCCUGGCUGGGGAGCAGACGCUGGAUAGGCCAGUGAU
rnacentral:lncRNA from 1 species